rnacentral:pre_miRNA from 1 species
AUCACUGAGCCACCUUCCCAGCCCUAAAAUUACAUUUUUUUAAAAAGCUGGAAGUAGGGCUGGGAAGGUGGCUCAGUGGU